GGUUGGUCCAAGUGCAGUAGUGUUUACAAUUAAUUGAUCACAACCAGUUACAGAUUCCUUUGUUCCUUCGUCACUCCCACUGCUUCAGUUGACCAGCCCUAA
rnacentral:Y_RNA from 1 species